rnacentral:rRNA from 1 species
GAUGAAUGCUGGCGGCGUGCUUAACACAUGCAAGUCGAGCGGUAACAGGAGUAGUUUACUACUUGCUGACGAGCGGCGGACGGCUGAGUAACGCGUGGGAACAUGCCCCAAAGUGAGGAAUAACUGCCCGAAAGGGUAGCUAAUGCCGCAUAUGAUCUUCGGAUUAAAGGAUUUAUCCGCUUUGGGAGUGGCCUGCGUAUGAUUAGGUAGUUGGUGAGGUAAUGGUUCACCAAGCCGACGAUCAUUAGCUGGUCUGAGAGGAUGACCAGCCAGACUGGAACUGAGACACGGUCCAGACUCCUACGGGAGGCAGCAGUGAGGAAUAUUCCACAAUGGGCGAAAGCCUGAUGGAGCAACGCCGCGUGAAGGAUGAAGGCCCUCGGGUUGUAAACUUCUUUUAUAAGUGAAGAAUAUGACGGUAACUUAUGAAUAAGCACCGGCUAACUACGUGCCAGCCGCCGCCGUAAUAC